rnacentral:rRNA from 1 species
CACGUAGGGUGCGAGCGUUGUCCGGAAUUAUUGGGCGUAAAGAGCUCGUAGGCGGUGUGUCGCGUCGGCCGUGAAAACCUGCAGCUUAACUGUGGGCUUGCGGUCGAUACGGGCAUCACUGGAGUUCGGGCAGGGGAGACUGGAAUUCCUGGUGUAGCGGUGAAAAUGCGCAGAUAUCAGGGAGGAAACACCAAUGGGCGAA